ensembl:lncRNA
GGGGGUAGCAGCUUUAAUAUUGCGGGGAGAUUGUUACUUCCAUCAAUGUAAUUGUCUGCAUCAUUUCCAAACCCUGCUUUACUGACAUUACCAGAUACUGCAAACCAACAAAUAGAGAAAUACGUCUUCUGAUUGGCCAAGUGCACGGUUCUGACUGGUGGCUGACCUGUCUAUACUGUGCCCCUCUCUCUCCGCCCAUUGCUCGCUAUGACACAUGUGAGCGUGGAAAGGAAUCAGGUCAGUAGUGGAAGUACAGGUCAGUAGUACA